rnacentral:tRNA from 1 species
AUUUAUUGGCAGAAAAAUGCAUUAGAAUUAGAAUCUAAACAUACUAAAAUUCU